UACGUAGGGUGCAAGCGUUGUCCGGAAUUAUUGGGCGUAAAGAGCUCGUAGGCGGUUUGUCGCGUCUGCUGUGAAAACCCAGGGCUUAACCCUGGGCCUGCAGUGGGUACGGGCAAACUAGAGUGCGGUAGGGAGACUGGAAUUCCUGGUGUAGCGGUGAAAUGCGCAGAUAUCAGGAGGAACACCGAUGGCGAAGGCAGCCCCCUGGGAUAACACUGACGCUCAUGCACGAAAGCGUGGGGAGCAAACAGG
rnacentral:rRNA from 1 species